GGAUAUAGCUCAGUUGGUAGUGCUUGCCUUGCAUGCACAAGGUCCUGAGUUCAACCCCCAGUACCA
rnacentral:tRNA from 1 species